CUGCGUGUCACAGUCUGACGCUCACUUGUUUACACACGAGACGUAUUUACGUGACUCAGCGCUUAAAGUUUGUUGUUUCUUCCUACGAAGUGCCUUGGAAACAUUGUCUCUAAUUUAGGAGGGGGCGUGGCCUGUGAGUCUGCAGCGAAGCGGGGUGUUGCCAGGACCGGCCUUGAAAUCAGCGACAGUCUUCACAGAGACAACAGUCAGUGGAAACUUGCUGAGAUCAGCCUCCUCCUGCCCUAGAAGACACGGUCCCACCUGGGUGAUCCACACUUCCUCCUCUUCCUCUUUGACGUGGAGAGACUCCUGGUCUGUUGUGUACAUAAGUAAAUAGGAUUAAGCGACAAUAAGAGUGUUUUUUUUACUGAGACUGUAAGAACAGUGGGAUUAUUGGUGUUCUCACGUGUGUUGUGUUAAAAGUGUGGAACUACACAUCCAAUAAAAACAUGGGAAAGAGUUUAUUUUGUCCUUGCCAUAAACCAGGGGUCUCAAACUCACUUUACCUGGGGGACACUGGAUGCAGAGUCUGGGCCGCAAGAAAAGAUUUGUUAAAAAAAUAAAAAUGUUGCAGACUCCCCAGCAUGUCUAGUUGUGUAAUGACGCUUCAAAUUGUAUCCCUUGUAAUUUAUUUUGUAUUUCUCUGUGCAAAUAAGACACAUCAGGGUGCCCCUGUGCUCAACAAAGAAAUAUUGCAUCUCCCACUUUUCCUGGAAUUGUCUUUGCUCAUCACCAACCUUUCUCUUCACUGCAGGCUUUGCAAAAGACAUGUUUGGGGUUGUGGAAUAUAUUUGUAUUUAGCCGACGCACGGAGAAUAACGUUAUUUCCGCAAUGUGUGUCGUUCUGCUUUUCCUCCCGACAGCAAGUACCUGGAUAGCGAGCGCAAAAAAAAGUGACGGCUCCCGGAGUGUUAUCCGACGUCGUAUAGAAAUAUAUGUAGUGUUCAUCGUGUGAGGCAAUGCAAAUUAAACAAUAAAAAAAAAAAAAUAACGGUUUGAAUUGGUCCGGGUUAUCGGGGACUGUUAUUACUGACGGACAGGUGUCGCGGUGUGACUGCAGCCAGGCACGUAAGAAAACCCUCGUCUCCGUGGCAACGUCUCUGUCGCUUUCACUCAUUUGCCGCUUUUCCACUAACGCAGGGGUAGGCAACCCAGAACGUUGAAAGAGCCAUUUUUAACAACGCUGUCAAGCGCCAUUCAUUCUUGCGGGGCGAACUAACAUUAAACUUUCAUAUUCGGCGGUAUAGCUCGGUUGGUAGAGCGGCCGUUCCAGCAACUUGCGGGUUGCAGGUUCGAUCCCCGCUUCAGCUAUCCUAGUCACUGUGUCCUUUCCCGGGCGCGGCACCGCUGCUGCUCACUGCUCCCCUCACCUCCCAGGGGGUGAACAAGGGGAUGGGUUAGUUUUGGACUCCCUUAUUUUCCCUUUGUGCACCUUUGAGUUUGUUUUAGUUUCCAUGGGGAUUCAUUGGGUUCACCUGCCUCUGGUUAGUGGUCGGCAUGCUCAGCUGCUGUCGACCACUAAUCAGCGAGCUUUUUAUUCACCUUGCUCACCACGCUCAGUCUGGCUUCCAUGUUUGUUGUAUGCAACAGUCACCUUGGUAUUCCUUCCAUCCAUCCAUCUUCCUACACAUUAGCCGAGGUCGGGUCGCAGGGGCAGCAGCCUAAGCAGGGAAGCCCAGACUUCCCUCUCCCUAGCCACUUUGUCCAGCUCCUUUGGGGGAUUCCUGAGGCGUUCCCAGGCCAGCCGGGAGACAUAAUCUUCCCAACGUGUCCUGGGUCUUCCCCGUGGCCUCCUCCCUGGGAGGCGUUCAGGUGGCAUCCUGACCAAUAUCCUAUUUUCUGGCUAAUGAAUCCUGUGCUAAGUUUUGGUUCUUUAGCUUUUCUUGCCAACGGCCCACUUUCCUUUUGUUUGGUUCCUGUCUGUUAGUAAAUGUUUACGAUUUAUGAUAAUAAAUCAUACUCCUUCCUUCACGCUUUCGUCCGGAGUUGUCCGUCUGUAUUCCUGGGAGAAGGGCCCCGCAUAAAGAUGCGACCCGUACAUGACAACAAGAGAUACGUGACAAAGGAACGCCUCGGGAUCCCCCGGGAAGAGCUGGACGA